GACGAACGCUGGCGGCGUGCUUAACACAUGCAAGUCGAGCGGUAAGGCCCUUUCGGGGGUACACGAGCGGCGAACGGGUGAGUAACACGUGGGUGACCUGCCUCAGCUCUGGGGAUAAAGCCUGGGGAAACUGGGUCUAAUACUGGAUAUGACUCCACGGUGCAUGUCGUGGGGUGGAAAGCCUUGUGCGGCUGAGGAUGGGCCCG
rnacentral:rRNA from 1 species